rnacentral:rRNA from 1 species
CAGAGGGUGCGAGCGUUGUUCGGAAUUACUGGGCGUAAAGCGCGCGCAGGCGGCUCUUUAAGUCUAUGGGUGAAAGACCGGGGCUCAACCCCGUGUCAGCCCGGGAUACUGGGGAGCUAGGGACAUGUAGGGGCGAGCGGAAUUCCGGGUGUAGCGGUGGAAUGCGUAGAGAUCCGGAAGAACACCGGGGGCGAAGGCGGCUCGCUGGGCAUGGUCCGACGCUGAGGCGCGAAAGCGUGGGGAGCGAACAGGAUUAGAUACCCUGGUAGUCCACGCCGUAAACGAUGGGCACUAGAGGCGGGGGGGAUCGGCCCCUUCCGUCUCGCAGCUAACGCGUUAAGUGCCCCGCCUGGGGAGUACGGCCGCAAGGCUG